GCCACCAUCGCACCUUCACAAUCACGUCACCAAAACCGCCAACCUACCACAACCAUCAUCGCACCUUCACAACCACAUCACCAAAACCGCCCACCUACUACCACCGCCACUACCACAACCACCCACAUGUUUUGUUGUGUUUGGGAGUUUAUGUAGAGGAGUGAGAGAGAGGGGGUUCCAUGCUAACCAGAAAGCAGCGAUAAUGUGGAUGCUAAUGUGUUGUAGGGAUGAGCAUUUGGUACUGGGUACCGAUACCAAACUGGCACCGAAUUUCCCUUACCGAAUUUUUUCGUUAGCGAAUAUCAGUACUACUUUUUGGCAUUUUAGGUACCGGUACUUUCAGUACCAGUACCGGUAAAAUACCGAUUUUAACCUACAAAUACCGGUACCGUAUGGAACAUUUUUGGUACCAGUAUCGGUACCCAAUUUUGAUGAAUUUCGGUUACUGGUACUGGUACCGGUAGAUUCGGUAUGUUACCGGUACCACACUCAUCCCUUUGUGCUGUUGAUUCACUCUAGCAAGUUGUAACUUGUAAAAAAUGUUUGUGUUUUCACCAUGGUAUGUAUGUGGCAUGGAUUUUGAUAAUUUGUGGAUAAUCUGUUUUGAUAUUUUUAUUCAUCAUUAGGAAAUCAAAUAGUUAUAGUUGAAAACACAAGAAGGUUCCUCAUUCGACAAAGAUAUGUAUCUCUAUCAGAUUACCCACAUUGAAUUAUGUGUUAGAACUCUCAUUUCUUAAUAUGCGUUCACGUCUUCUGCAUGUUUCAAGGUUUUCUUGGUCAUAAAUACCAUAUUAAACUGUGUUUGGGUCCUUUGACCUGGUUGAAAUGUAUUUUGAUCAUAAAGACCAAUUUAAAAAGUAUCUGGGUCCUUUAACCUGUUUCGAGUGUGUUUUGUUCAUAAAGACCAUAUUAAAGUGUGUUCGGUCCUUUUGGCCCAUUUCAAGGGUGUUUUAGCUAUAAAGAACUAUUUAUUGUGUGUUUGGGUCUUUUGACCCAUUUCAAAUGUGUUUUGGUCAUAAAUACCAAUUUAAAGUGUGUUCGGGUCCUUUAACCCAUUUCAAGUGGUUUUGGUCAUAAUUACCAAUAUAAAGUGUCUCUAUAAGGUAAUUUAUCUAUUUAAAGCUGUCAAAACAUGGGGUAAAACAUAUAUGUGUUAUCGGUGAUUAUAAAGUGUUGAUUUACAUGUUUUAAGAUGUCAAAAUAAGUGGUAAAUGAUUGAAAUACAGGUGAUUUUUUUAUGACUACAAAGUGUUGAUUUGCAUGGUGUGUUCACAUUUGAUAUUUAAAUUUUAAUCCUUUAUUUUUGCAGAAUGUUUACUUUGAUGAUGAAUCAGGGAAGUUGUCAUGUCAUCCCUGAGGUUGGGUAGUGACUUAGGAUGGACAUCUUCCGAGAAAGCUGCUCGUGAGGCGAAUGAUGCACUCGCUAAGCCGGUUUCGCAUAAGCGGAGCGUUAGUCUUCGCAAGUCAGACCUAUAGUGAUGGUCGUAGCCAGAAGUUCUAGAUGGCUUGAGAAACAAUAAAUGUUGUUUGUCAGGGGACACCUUAAUCCUUAAUAAAAGUAAAUAAAAAUAUAACAUUUUAUACUUCUAUACAUUUUAACUGUAUUUUCACUUUGUCAAUAAGUAAUUUAUGUAAUAAAUAAUCACUUUGUUGUA